AAAUUGAAGAGUUUGAUCAUGGCUCAGAUUGAACGCUGGCGGCAGGCCUAACACAUGCAAGUCGAACGGUAACAGGAAGAAGCUUGCUUCUUUGCUGACGAGUGGCGGACGGGUGAGUAAUGUCUGGGAAACUGCCUGAUGGAGGGGGAUAACUACUGGAAACGGUAGCUAAUACCGCAUAACGUCGCAAGACCAAAGAGGGGGACCUUCGGGCCUCUUGCCAUCGGAUGUGCCCAGAUGGGAUUAGCUUGUUGGUGGGGUAACGGCUCACCAAGGCGACGAUCCCUAGCUGGUCUGAGAGGAUGACCAGCCACACUGGAACUGAGACACGGUCCAGACUCCUACGGGAGGCAGCAGUGGGGAAUAUUGCACAAUGGGCGCAAGCCUGAUGCAGCCAUGCCGCGUGUAUGAAGAAGGCCUUCGGGUUGUAAAGUACUUUCAGCGGGGAGGAAGGGAGUAAAGUUAAUACCUUUGCUCAUUGACGUUACCCGCAGAAGAAGCACCGGCUAACUCCGUGCCAGCAGCCGCGGUAAUACGGAGGGUGCAAGCGUUAAUCGGAAUUACUGGGCGUAAAGCGCACGCAGGCGGUUUGUUAAGUCAGAUGUGAAAUCCCCGGGCUCAACCUGGGAACUGCAUCUGAUACUGGCAAGCUUGAGUCUCGUAGAGGGGGGUAGAAUUCCAGGUGUAGCGGUGAAAUGCGUAGAGAUCUGGAGGAAUACCGGUGGCGAAGGCGGCCCCCUGGACGAAGACUGACGCUCAGGUGCGAAAGCGUGGGGAGCAAACAGGAUUAGAUACCCUGGUAGUCCACGCCGUAAACGAUGUCGACUUGGAGGUUGUGCCCUUGAGGCGUGGCUUCCGGAGCUAACGCGUUAAGUCGACCGCCUGGGGAGUACGGCCGCAAGGUUAAAACUCAAAUGAAUUGACGGGGGCCCGCACAAGCGGUGGAGCAUGUGGUUUAAUUCGAUGCAACGCGAAGAACCUUACCUGGUCUUGACAUCCACGGAAGUUUUCAGAGAUGAGAAUGUGCCUUCGGGAACCGUGAGACAGGUGCUGCAUGGCUGUCGUCAGCUCGUGUUGUGAAAUGUUGGGUUAAGUCCCGCAACGAGCGCAACCCUUAUCCUUUGUUGCCAGCGGUCCGGCCGGGAACUCAAAGGAGACUGCCAGUGAUAAACUGGAGGAAGGUGGGGAUGACGUCAAGUCAUCAUGGCCCUUACGACCAGGGCUACACACGUGCUACAAUGGCGCAUACAAAGAGAAGCGACCUCGCGAGAGCAAGCGGACCUCAUAAAGUGCGUCGUAGUCCGGAUUGGAGUCUGCAACUCGACUCCAUGAAGUCGGAAUCGCUAGUAAUCGUGGAUCAGAAUGCCACGGUGAAUACGUUCCCGGGCCUUGUACACACCGCCCGUCACACCAUGGGAGUGGGUUGCAAAAGAAGUAGGUAGCUUAACCUUCGGGAGGGCGCUUACCACUUUGUGAUUCAUGACUGGGGUGAAGUCGUAACAAGGUAACCGUAGGGGAACCUGCGGUUGGAUCACCUCCUUA
rnacentral:rRNA from 10 species